UGGGGAAUAUUGGACAAUGGGCGCAAGCCUGAUCCAGCCAUGCCGCGUGUGUGAAGAAGGCCUUUUGGUUGUAAAGCACUUUAAGCGAGGAGGAGGCUACUUGGAUUAAUACUCUAGGAUAGUGGACGUUACUCGCAGAAUAAGCACCGGCUAACUCUGUGCCAGCAGCCGCGGUAAUACAGAGGGUGCGAGCGUUAAUCGGAUUUUCUGGGCGUAAAGCGUGCGUAGGCGGCUUCUUAAGUCGGAUGUGAAAUCCCUGAGCUUAACUUAGGAAUUGCAUUCGAUACUGGGAAGCUAGAGUAUGGGAGAGGAUGGUAGAAUUCCAGGUGUAGCGGUGAAAUGCGUAGAGAUCUGGAGGAAUACCGAUGGCGAAGGCAGCCAUCUGGCCUAAUACUGACGCUGAGGUACGAAAGCAUGGGGAGCAAACAGG
rnacentral:rRNA from 1 species